rnacentral:rRNA from 1 species
CUCCCAAACCCCUGUGACAUACCUUAAUGUUGCCUCGGCGGAUCAGCCCGCGCCCCGUAAAACGGGACGGCCCGCCAGAGGACCCAAACUCUAAUGUUUCUUAUUGUAACUUCUGAGUAAAACAAACAAAUAAAUCAAAACUUUCAACAACGGAUCUCUUGGUUCUGGCAUCGAUGAAGAACGCAGCAAAAUGCGAUAAGUAAUGUGAAUUGCAGAAUUCAGUGAAUCAUCGAAUCUUUGAACGCACAUUGCGCCCGCUGGUAUUCCGGCGGGCAUGCCUGUUCGAGCGUCAUUUCAACCCUCAAGCCCCCGGGUUUGGUGUUGGGGAUCGGCUCUGCCCUUCUGGGCGGUGCCGCCCCCGAAAUACAUUGGCGGUCUCGCUGCAGCCUCCAUUGCGUAGUAGCUAACACCUCGCAACUGGAACGCGGCGCGGCCAUGCCGUAAAACCCCAACUUCUGAAUGUUGACCUCGGAUCAGGUAGGAAUACCCGCUGAACUUAAGCAUAUCAAUAAGCGGAGGAAAA